rnacentral:rRNA from 1 species
CUGGGAUAAGCGUUGGAAACGACGUCUAAUACCGGAUAUGACGACUGGCCGCAUGGUCUGGUUGUGGAAAGAUUUUUCGGUUGGGGAUGAGCUCGCGGCCUAUCAGCUUGUUGGUGAGGUAAUGGCUCACCAAGGCGACGACGGGUAGCCGGCCUGAGAGGGUGACCGGCCACACUGGGACUGAGACACGGCCCAGACUCCUACGGGAGGCAGCAGUGGGGAAUAUUGCACAAUGGGCGCAAGCCUGAUGCAGCAACGCCGCGUGAGGGAUGACGGCCUUCGGGUUGUAAACCUCUUUUGUCCAGGAAGAAGCCUUCGGGUGACGGUACUGGGAGAAAAAGCACCGGCUAACUACGUGCCAGCAGCCGCGGUAAUACGUAGGGUGCAAGCGUUGUCCGGAAUUAUUGGGCGUAAAGAGCUCGUAGGCGGUUUGUCGCGUCUGCUGUGAAAUCCCGAGGCUCAACCUCGGGCCUGCAGUGGGUACGGGCAGACUAGAGUGCGGUAGGGGAGAUUGGAAUUCCUGGUGUAGCGGUGGAAUGCGCAGAUAUCAGGAGGAACACCGAUGGCGAAGGCAGAUCUCUGGGCCGUAACUGACGCUGAGGAGCGAAAGCGUGGGGAGCGAACAGGAUUAGAUACCCUGGUAGUCCACGCCGUAAA